GUCUACGGCCAUACCACCCUGAAUGCAUCCGAUCUCGCCUGAUCUUGGAAGCUAAGCAGGGUCGGGCCUGGUUAGUACUUGGAUGGGAAACAGGGCAGAGAGCCAGGCUUUGUCUCCU
rnacentral:rRNA from 1 species